UACAGAGGGGGCAAGCGUUGUCCGGAUUUACUGGGCGUAAAGAGCGCGCAGGCGGCUGGUCAAGUCCGAUGUGAAAUCUCCCGGCUCAACUGGGAAACUGCAUCGGAAACUGAUCGGCUUGAAGAUGGGAGAGGGUAGUGGAAUUCCCGGUGUAGUGGUGAAAUGCGUAGAUAUCGGGAGGAACACCGGUGGCGAAGGCGGUUCUCUGGGCCUUACCUGACGCUGAGGAGCGAAAGCGUGGGGAGCGAACAGG
rnacentral:rRNA from 1 species